rnacentral:rRNA from 1 species
UACGUAGGGGGCAAGCGUUGUCCGGAUUUACUGGGCGUAAAGAGCGCGUAGGCGGACGUUUAAGUGUGGUCUGAAAGCCCCCGGCUCAACCGGGGAUGCGGAUUGCAUACUGGACGUCUUGAGGGGGAUAGAGGAAGGUGGAAUUCCUGGUGUAGCGGUGAAAUGCGCAGAUAUCAGGAGGAACACCAAUGGCGAAGGCAGCACUCUGGGACGUGACUGACGCUGAGACGCGAAAGCGUGGGGAGCAAACAGG